AGGAUUUGACACAAACAACAUUGUGCAGAAUCCGUUUGAGGAGUAUUGUACCCCAUGCGAACCUGAGCAUCUGUUUCCUUCAUCGACUGUUGGAACAGCAGUGGAUACAAGGCUCUCCACACCAAGCACAAGUAUGGACGUGGCAGUGGUAAGAUAUAACCCAGAUACAGGCACAUUAUCAGAUGCAAUAGACAUAGUUGCAUACAGUAUACAGCAGGGGUUCUCAAUCUGGAUGUACUUAGUUUGUUCUACGGGGUGGGGAUGAGGCUCCCUCACAUUGAC